GGGAGCAUCGGUUUUGACAUUAUUGUGUACUAAUUCCUUUUUUAUUUGAUUCACUAUCUUUAUGCUUCAAGUAUACAUUGUGUACUAAUUCCUUUUUUAUUAAUGUCCAAAUGAGGAUAGAUAGUUUGAUAACUCCAUCUACGGUGCUAUGACAAUGUUCCGUAAGCUGGUCAAAGAGUAACGUGGUGGCAGCGGAUGGAUGCUAUGAAAAAUUGUAGAACGGUGCAGCAGUGAAGGUUGAUCAUGGAUUGAUGAGAUGCGUGAUGUGCUUCGGUGGAUGGACUAACUCAGAAGNCCUUCAAGAAUGGAAGGAAGUUAGGUGAUAGAGAUUUAGAGAAGCACAGGAGAGGACUUUCAGAGGAGAACUGGCUCAUACAUUCAUCAGUUUUAAUUCUCAAAAUUCUAAAAGUGAAUACAUGGUGCAGCCAAGGUGANUUUUAUAGACUCCUCAUCCUUUGGCCAUUGAUGGAAACGUGCUCAUCCAAGAUGGAUCACAUUCCACGUUUCUAAACAUGUGCUAAAUGUGCUAAGCUUCUAGAAGCCUACAUGUAUUACA
rnacentral:lncRNA from 1 species